GCCUUCGUGGGGUAGUGGUCAGCACGCUCGACGAGUAACCGAGAGGUCCAUGGUUCGAUUCCCUGCGAAGGCA
rnacentral:tRNA from 1 species